rnacentral:rRNA from 1 species
AACGAACGCUGGCGGCAUGCCUAACACAUGCAAGUCGAACGAGACCUUCGGGUCUAGUGGCGCACGGGUGCGUAACGCGUGGGAACCUGCCCUUAGGUUCGGAAUAACUCCCCGAAAGGGGUGCUAAUACCAGAUAAUGUCUUCGGACCAAAGAUUUAUAGCGUUUGGAUGGGCCCGCGUUGGAUUAGCUAGUUGGUAGGGUAAAAGCCUACCAAGGCGACGAUCCAUAGCUGGUCUGAGAGGAUGAUCAGCCACACUGGGACUGAGACACGGCCCAGAAUCCUACGGGAGGCAGCAGUGGGUAAUAUUGGACAAUGGGCGAAAGCCUGAUCCAGCAAUGCCGCGUGAGUGAUGAAGGCCUUAGGGUUGUAAAGCUCUUUUACCCGGGAUGAUAAUGACAGUACCGGGAGAAUAAGCUCCGGCUAACUCCGUG